rnacentral:rRNA from 1 species
GAGUUUGAUCCUGGCUCAGGAUAAACGCUGGCGGCGUGCCUAAUACAUGCAAGUUGAGCGGGAUCCCCUGGAUUUGUCUGGGGGUGAGAGCGGCGAACGGGUGAGUAACACGUAGGUGACCUGCCCUGAAGACGGGGAUAACCACUGGAAACGGUGGCUAAUACCCGAUGUGCUCGGCGAUUCGUUUCGUCGAGUAAAGCUCCGGCGCUUCGGGAUGGACCUGCGGCCUAUCAGCUAGUUGGUAGGGUAACGGCCUACCAAGGCGAAGACGGGUAGGGGGCGUGAGAGCGUGUUCCCCCACACUGGCACUGAGACACGGGCCAGACUCCUACGGGAGCCAGCAGCCGCGGUAAUACG